UACGGAGGAUGCAAGCGUUAUCCGGAUUUAUUGGGUUUAAAGGGUGCGCAGGCGGAACAUUAAGUCAGUGGUGAAAGCCCCUCGCUCAACGAGGGAACUGCCAUUGAUACUGUUGUUCUUGAGUUCAGUUGAAGUGGGCGGAAUGUGUCGUGUAGCGGUGAAAUGCAUAGAUAUGACACAGAACUCCGAUCGCGAAGGCAGCUCACUAAGCUGAUACUGACGCUCAUGCACGAAAGCGUGGGGAUCAAACAGGAUUAGAUACCCUGGUAGUCCACGCUGUAAACGAUGAUCACUCGCUGUUGGCGAUAUACUGUCAGUGGCUAAGCGAAAGUGAUAAGUGAUCCACCUGGGGAGUACGAUCGCAAGGUUGAA
rnacentral:rRNA from 1 species